rnacentral:rRNA from 1 species
GACGAACGCUGGCGGCGUGCCUAAUACAUGCAAGUCGAGCGGACGGAUGGGAGCUUGCUCCCAGACCGUCAGCGGCGGACGGGUGAGUAACACGUGGGCAACCUGCCUGUAAGACUGGGAUAACUCCGGGAAACCGGGGCUAAUACCGGAUAACUCUUUCCCUCACAUGAGGGAGAGCUGAAAGAUGGCAUCUCGCUAUCACUUACAGAUGGGCCCGCGGCGCAUUAGCUAGUUGGUGAGGUAACGGCUCACCAAGGCGACGAUGCGUAGCCGACCUGAGAGGGUGAUCGGCCACACUGGGACUGAGACACGGCCCAGACUCCUACGGGAGGCAGCAGUAGGGAAUCUUCCGCAAAGGACGAAAGUCUGACGGAGCAACGCCGCGUGAGUGAUGAAGGUUUUCGGAUCGUAAAACUCUGUUGUCAGGGAAGAACAAGUACCGGAGUAACUGCCGGUACCUUGACGGUACCUGACCAGAAAGCCACGGCUAACUACGUG